AUCUCACUCCAUCCACGCUUCGUCCUUUGCCGAGCUCGAACAGAGCUUAACACAAACACUUGGAAUACAAAAACCGAGUCAGAAUUUGAAGCUUCAAACGAUUCAACCGACCAAUUCGAUCUCCAUUGUCAAUCUCUUCGUCGAAACCAGCCACGGUUCGCAUCAAAUCUCGAAGAUCUCAACUACUGGUUGUUCGAUUCAAUGAAGUUGAAGAUCAACAAAGCCUGCGAUCUUAGCUCCAUUUCAGUUCUUCCUCCUCACGCAAGGAGAUCGAGCAAUGUACAGAGUGGUCCUGAGUCCUUGGUGUUUGGAAAAAACCAAGCGUCUCAGCUUCGUUCGCAGCCAUCGCAACAGUCAUUUUCGCAGGGAGUUUCGUCUCAACAUGGAACGUUUUCUCAGCUCUCGCAGAAUUCUCUCGACGAGUUCGUCACAAACGAUCGGAGGAUUGGUUCUCAAGAAAGAGAGAACUCAGCAAAGAAGAUGUCUUGCUUGCCUGCUAUCAGCUACACGCGAGAAGAGAGUCAAAUGCCAAUCUCAAGGUCUUCCAACAAUCUGAUGCGCAAAUGGAACUCUACUGCUGCUCCAGAUCACAGAAGUCAGGUAAGUGAAGAACUAGAACGCAGAAUUGGAAUUAUGGAAACUUCAUUGAACAGGUUUGGAAUGAUCUUGGAUUCUGUUCAGAGCGAUAUCAUGCAAGUAAACAAGGGAACGAAGGAAGUAUUAAUGGAGAUGGAAGUCUUACAGCAGAAGUUGAUUGCUAAUGAUAACUUGGCGCAGCUAAUAAACAAGGGACAAGAAGAUAUCAAAACUAACCUAGUAGGGGGAUUAAAAUCUCUCUCUGAUCAAGUCAGACAGGACAUAUACCAAGCAAGGCUACAGGAGAUUUCUUCAGUGAUAUCAGCUUUACCAGAGCAGAUUAACGAGUGUUUACAAAAAUUGAAAUCUGAGCUCUGCAAGUCUGUCACCCAAGAAAUGCAGGCAAUGGUUUGCAGCUUGAAGAUUCCUAGCCAAAACCAUCGAACUCCCACCGUUCUUCCAGCAAAGGGCAUAAGCUGUCAAGCUACUCCACAGCAAAAACCAUCUCUCAAGAACCCCGAAGUACAUCCAAAGGUUUAUGGGAAAGCAACUCUGGUUCCAAAGAUAGAAUUGGGAAGGUGGACCUCUGUCAAAACAGAUCAAGCUUUUUUUAAAUAUGUGGGCCCUAGUAAGGAGCAUAAACAGAAGAGACCAACUCCCAUUGAACUGGAGAGAGAAUGGAGAAUUCCUAUUGAAUCUGAUGAGGAGAUAGAUAGCGGGUUUUCUUGCUUGCUUGAAGAAAAGGAAACAGGUAACUAUUCAAUGGCGGAUGCUAAGGAAGAGAGUGAAAGGAUUCUGAGGAAAGCAAGGAGGAGAAAGAGAAAACACAGUAACAUCAUAAUUUUGGAUUGAAGGAAGGAGAUCAAAGAUCAAGACACCAAGGGAGGUCUGAAUUUUCAAUGAUUAGCAAACUCAUUUUUCUAUUAUGUAUCUGCAACAGGCUGGUUGUGGGCUUUGGGAGUCUUUUCAAGGCAUGGAGUGUCCAAAAGAGUGAGCAUCCAAUGCUUAAAGAGAGUUGUUCAAAGUGGGAAGGAAUAUUCAAUGCCCCUUCCCUUAGAGAUAUUAGCCCACCCACCUUUAAUUGUCAAGAAAAAGUUAAAGUUGCCACUUGCCACAUAUGAGUUACCAAAGUUGAGUUUGUUUUCAUCCUCAAGUCCAUAUAUAUAUUUGCAAGAAUAAAAUAAAGCAAAUUAAAAAGAAAAAAGAAAAAAAAGAACACACGUUUUGAUGAAAAUACAAAAUUUCCUUAUUUCAAAAAUUAUACAAAAAGAAAAAAAAUUCUAAGGUUUGAUGUCAAAUCACAUUUAACCAUAUAUCGUUAAACAUUCGUUAAAAUUAGGAUAAAAGUAAAACAGCACUCAAUGUCAAAAUUUAGAAAAUGUCACUAAAAAUGCUAAUGUAGCUUUGGAUAAAAAAUUCUAUUGGCCUAGAAAAAUUGACCUAGAUUUUUAUGCAUAAUGUAUUUGUGUGGUAUAAAUUGAAUUAGUGUAAUGUAGGGUUCAAAUAUGGAAUGAAUAUGAAUCAUAAAUUUGUAUUCUUGAAUAAAAUUUGG